ACACUGAAAAAAAUGGACUUAGUGGGUCUUUGAAUUUAAAUAAAAUAAACAUGUAUAUGCAACACAAAAUAUUUAUAUUCCUUGUGUAAACAUAAUUUAAUUGAUUAGGAUUAAAAUGUUUUGUUUGAAUGUAAAAUGAACACAUUAUUCUCACAUUGAUUAAAAUUGAUUGAAUUGAAUACUUAAAACAAUAAAAUUGGGUUUGGACACAAAACGGCACCUCCUGAGCAGCAGGGGCAGUAUAGCUCAUUGAGAAGGACAUCGAUUGCCAUAAAAGAAGAAUAAAGAUCGUUUUUUUGGGCGCCAAAAUGAAGACUCAGCAGCAGUCAGUCAGUCAGAAGAACUCUCUCAGACGGACACCACGUUAUUAAAGUCCAUCAUCCUUGCAUGCGCUACACAGCAUUGAUAAAUGCUGAAUUUGAAAGAAUCACUACUGUCUUAUGUUCCUGCGUGUCACCUGGACCUCCAAUCCAAAAACCUGAUGAAACUCUUCUAUCAGAAAGGAGGACAGCUAGCAAAAAGGCUUCAAACAAUCAAUGAUCAAAUGACAGAUGGCAUGGAUGAAGUCAGCAUCAGUGAGGUCAUUUGAAGACACCACUGUUGGGAUUUGUGCUCUCAAACAACCUGCUUCUUGUGAUGAAGAAGAGGAUCUUUGUAUAGUCCUGGAAGGCAUGAAGGUGUUGCAACAUCGUGCCAUGUUGUUUGAGCUGAUGUAUGCCUUAAACCUGAGCUAUCCUGAUCUCCGCUUUAUUUUUGAGGAAAUCCAAAAGAUUUUAAUGGAACUGCAUUGAGAGUAACUUUAACGAACAGUUUCUUUCAGUGAAAGGAUCAGAAAGACUGUGCUGCUCAUUUUUGACUUUGUUUAUCUGUUUUAAGUGUUUUCUCUUAUUAAUACAUUAACCGUUUGCUGCUCAGA